GGGUACGAAGAGUGCAAAUCAGACCCUAAGUUUAAAAAACCAAGGAUAUAAAAAAUUCUCAAAUCUUGGCACCAAGCACCAACAUAGCGAAGUCUCACCACCAAACAUGGCAUUCCCUAAAAAAACAAAUUGAAAAAUUUCGUGCACCUAUAUUUUGACUUUAUUUGUCAUUUUGGGAUUUAAAGAAUGCAUUGCAGCCCCUAAGUCUAAAAUACCAAGUCUUUCAAAAAUUUCCAAACCUUGGCAUAAAGCACCAACUUU
rnacentral:lncRNA from 1 species